rnacentral:rRNA from 1 species
UGGUGUGGAAACGCCUGCCGUAGAAGGUGAUAGUCCUGUAGCUGAAGAUGAUGGUGUGUGGGUUGUUGGGUUGCCCGAGUAGCAGCGGGCUCGUGGAAUCUGCUGUGAAUCUGCCGGGACCACCCGGUAAGCCUAAAUACUCAGUGUGACCGAUAGUGGAUAGUACCGUGAGGGAAUGGUGAAAAGUACCCCGGGAGGGGAGUGAAAUAGUUCCUGAAACCAUGUGCUUACAAUCCGUCAGAGCACCAUAUGUUGUGUGAUGGCGUGCCUUUUGAAGAAUGAGCCUGCGAGUCAGCGGCAUGUCGCGAGGUUAACCCGUGUGGGGUAGCCGUAGGGAAACCGAAUCCUAAUGGGGUGUUUAGUGGCAUGUCCUGGACCCGAAGCGGGGUGAUCUACCCAUGGCCAGUGUGAAGCAGCAGUAAGAUGCUGUGGAGGCGCGAACCCACGUAGGUUGAAAACUGCGGGGAUGAGCUGUGGGUAGGGGUGAAAGGCCAAUCAAACUCCGUGAUAGCUGGUUCUCCCCGAAAUGCAUUUAGGUGCAGCGUCGCAUUAGCUUGGUGGAGGUAGAGCUACUGGUUGGUUGAGCGGGACUACAAUCUUAGCAAUGUCAGCCAAACUCCGAAUGCCAUUAAUGUGUUGUGCGGCAGUGAGACUGUGGGGGAUAAGCUUCAUAGUCGAGAGGGAAACAGCCCAGAUCGCCGGUUAAGGCCCCUAAGGGUGUGCUAAGUGGAAAAGGAUGUGGGAUCGCGAAGACAGCCAGGAGGUUGGCUUAGAAGCAGCCAUCCUUGAAAGAGUGCGUAAUAGCUCACUGGUCGAGUGGUUCUGCGCCGACAAUGUAGUGGGGCUCAAGCACACCGCCGAAGCCGCGGCAAUAAUAUUUUGUU